UUUAAGGUACCAAUAUAAUCAACUGAUUAAGAUUAAUUAUAGCUGAAGCAGUGAAUUUACAGCAGCAGCAGCGAUUGUAUUCAAAUGAGCGUCGCCGCCGCCUUCAAAUCUCUCAAAUCUUCCGCCCUCUUCUCAUGGAAACCCACGGGCAAGUUGCAGAAAACUGUGGCGAAUUGCAUCGAGAGAACCGGUCAGGGACUCCACUCGGGAGACAUAGCCACUGUUAGAAUUCUUCCGGAGGCCGCCCGCGCCGGCCGCUACUUCAUCUUCGGGUCAAACGUUAUUCGCGCAUCGAUUGACCACGUUGUGAGAGACACGCCUCUAUGCACCGCGCUUUCAAAAGAUGGCUACAGCGUUCGAACCGUCGAGCACUUGCUCUCCGCUCUCGAGGCAUGUGGCGUCGAUAAUUGCCGCAUUGAGAUUGGCGGAUCCAACAAUUGCGAUCGCUCUGUUGAGGUUCCUAUCUUUGACGGGUCAGCAAGAGAAUGGGUGGAUGCAAUCAAUCAAUCCGGAUUAAAGGUGGCUGUAGAUAUUGAUGGUCAAAGUUGUCAAAGAUUGGCACCGUAUCUCAACGAACCUGUUCAUGUGCUGCAUAAUGAUUCUUUUAUAACAGCAAUCCCUAAUCCGAAAGUCUGUAUCACAUAUGGGAUAGUCUACCCACAGGCACCUGCAAUUGGUUGCCAAUGGUUCUCUUCCUCAAUGUUGGAUGAAUCUACCUACUCCAGUUCUAUUGGUCCAUCUAGAACAUUUUGUAUUUAUGAAGAGGUGGAACAUAUGCGCAACUUAGGACUUAUCAAAGGGGGUUCGGCAGAAACAGCUAUUGUCUGUAGCAUGAAUAAGGGAUGGAUGAAUCCACCUCUGCGCUACGACAAUGAGCCUUGCAGGCAUAAGGUGUUGGAUCUUAUUGGCGAUUUUUCCCUUUUGGCUCAAGAGGGUAAUCAAGGUCUUCUGGUGGCUCACAUUGUUGCUUAUAAGUUGAUAGGGUGGACACUCACUGCAUGCUGAAUUUGUUCGACGCCUAGUUGGGAAUGAUGCAGCUUCUGAGGAGCUCACAGCUUAGAAAUCACAAGAACAACGGAACUUCAUGCAUACAAGAAGCUAAGGUAGACAUCAUUGUCCCAUAAUAAUUGCAGUGCAUGUAAAGCUGAUUGUUGACAUGUAGUAUAAAUUUUAUUUAACUCAUUUAUUGGUUUCACUUGUAUUAUUUUUUAAUUCUGGUAACACUUUUAUAACAUAGCAUCACUCUUGGAAACAUUGAAUGCCUUA